rnacentral:RNase_P_RNA from 2 species
GUCCUCAUCAAUGUCGCGCUUCCAUGCCACACACGGAGAGACUGCUCAUCACAGUCUCUCAUAACCUGCAUGUGAGAAAUUCGGAGUAUGCUUCAACCAUACCUUAAGCCGCUCACGAUUCCGUGGGCGGCCGGGUCUGCCUGUGAGGGUCUGGCGUCAACGACGUUUGCAAUUGGCAUCAGAAAAGCAGGGUUUGGAGGCUUCCAUGUAUACCCGCAAGGGGAAGAUGGGAGCAAUCCAUCUACCUAUGGGAGAGUCAUUGCGAAGCUUGUGCCAAAGUACUUGAGUGCGAUGUGCGACAUGGUGCUCUUUCGAGAGCGCCAUCAUUCAAUUCCGAUUAUUCUGAUGAGGGC